ACGUCAGGGGAUCGCCCUCCACCAGCGUGUUACGCCCGUGGGGGCGAAAGUC
rnacentral:sRNA from 1 species